CCUACGGGACGCAGCAGUGGGGAAUAUUGGACAAUGGGCGAAGGCCUGAUCCAGCAAUGCCGCGUGUGUGAAGAAGGUCUUCGGAUUGUAAAGCACUUCCGACGGGGACGAUGAUGACGGUACCCGUAGAAGAAGCCCCCGGCUAACUUCGUGCCAGCAGCCGCGGUAAUACGAAGGGGGCUAGCGUUGCUCGGAAUGACUGGACGUAAAGGGCGCGUAGGCGGUUUAUGCAGUCAGAUGUGAAAUCCCCGGGCUUAACCUGGGAACUGCAUUUGAGACGCAUAGACUAGAGGACGAGAGAGGGUUGUGGAAUUCCCAGUGUAGAGGUGAAAUUCGUAGAUAUUGGGAAGAACACCGGUGGCGAAGGCGGCAACCUGGCUCGAUGCUGACGCUGAGGCGCGAAAGCGUGGGGAGCAAACAGGAUUAGAUACCCCUGUAGUC
rnacentral:rRNA from 1 species